UGGGGCUUGUCCAGAAAGUACACAAGAAAUAGCAUCGCAAUCCAAAGUUUGAUAGGAGAAGAUACACAUUAUAUUAUGGAUGGCGGUUUUACCGUGGUUAUCCAAUGUAUUUAAUAGUGUUGAUUGUGUUAUCUCAAGUUCAAUUUCUCUUUGGUUUGUUGAUAGUUUUGUAGCACUCGAGUGCCCUGUAGAGAAGAUAGAUCAUCUCAGGCGCUGUUUGGACAUCCUUCUAGGGGUGUUUGGACGGGAGGUGUCCUGACAGCAGGCGCAUAGUAAGCUACUUAAGUUGUCUUUUUGGGACUUUUUUUUGUAACAUAUAUUUUUGGGAUUCUUUUUAGGGUUUUAGAGAGAGACAAAAUGGAUUGAUAUUUCUUGUGAGAUUCUUGAGAGGUGUGAUCAAAGCUUGGUGUAGCAAACUUGGAGGUCAUCCAAUGGGCUCGAUUUUCUUCAUCUAGUGGAUUACUUGCGCAACUCCUUGGACAUAAACCUGGAAACUAGAAUCAUGAGGGAUUUGAAGUCUUAAGCAAUUAGGGUUCUUAAGAAACUAUAUAUACUUGUCGUCCAAGACUCUCAAACCUAUCGAAGUACGAGCUCAAAAUGCAAGGCAGAUUCCUAUCAAGCUUCGGAGUUUUUCUUUUCAUGUUUUCUUGGUGGAGUGCAUUACUCAUUGGUGGUGUACCAAACAGUAUAUCCUCAAUAGUGAUACUUCGGUUGCAGCCAAAGUCUGUCCAGCUAACAUACUUGUUGGGGUUUAGAAAACACAUGUUGAAUACUUGAUGUACUAAGAUAUCUUAGGUUAGAUCCUGUGUAAUCUUUAUUCAUAUUGUAGAUUGUUUUCAAGGUUGAUCGCUUGAUAGACUCGAGGUUUUUCCCUACUGGGUUUUCCUCGUUAUUCUGGUGUGUUUUGAUUGUUGUUUAAAUAUUCUGCAAGUUCCAUUAGUUUGACUAA